CAUAGGUAGUUUGAACGGUGU
rnacentral:siRNA from 1 species